UGAACGCUAGCGGCAGGCUUAACACAUGCAAGUCGAGGGGUAGAAGCAGCUUGCUGCUUUGAGACCGGCGCACGGGUGCGUAACGCGUAUACAAUCUACCUUUACAGAGGGAUAGCCCAGAGAAAUUUGGAUUAAUACCUCAUAGUAUUUUCGAAUCGCAUGAUUUGAUUAUUAAAGUUCCAACGGUAAAAGAUGAGUAUGCGUCCCAUUAGCUAGAUGGUAAGGUAACGGCUUACCAUGGCAACGAUGGGUAGGGGUCCUGAGAGGGAGAUCCCCCACACUUGUACUGAGACACGGACCAGACUCCUACGGGAGGCAGCAGUGAGGAAUAUUGGACAAUGGGCGCAAGCCUGAUCCAGCCAUGCCGCGUGCAGGAAGACGGUCCUAUGGAUUGUAAACUGCUUUUAUACAGGAAGAAACACCUCUACGUGUAGAGACUUGACGGUACUGUAUGAAUAAGCAUCGGCUAACUCCGUG
rnacentral:rRNA from 1 species